UACGUAGGGGGCAAGCGUUGUCCGGAUUUAUUGGGCGUAAAGAGCGUGUAGGCGGCCAAACAGGUCCACUGUGAAAACUCGAGGCUCAACCUCGAGAGGUCGGUGGAAACCGUCUGGCUAGAGUCCGGAAGAGGAGAGUGGAAUUCCUGGUGUAGCGGUGAAAUGCGCAGAUAUCAGGAAGAACACCAAUGGCGAAGGCAGCUCUCUGGGACGGUACUGACACUGAGACGCGAAAGCGUGGAGAGCGAACAGG
rnacentral:rRNA from 1 species